rnacentral:rRNA from 1 species
UACAGAGGGGGCAAGCGUUAUUCGGAAUUAUUGGGCGUAAAGGGCGCGUAGGCGGCCUGGCAAGUGGAAGGUGAAAUCCCUCGGCUUAACCGAGGAACUGCCUCCCAAACUGCUUGGCUUGAGACCGGGAGAGGUGAGUGGAAUUCCCAGUGUAGCGGUGAAAUGCGUAGAUAUUGGGAGGAACACCAGUGGCGAAGGCGGCUCACUGGGCCGGUACUGACGCUGAUGCGCGAAAGCGUGGGGAGCAAACGGG